UACAGAGGUCCCAAGCGUUGUUCGGAUUCACUGGGCGUAAAGGGUGCGUAGGCGGUCGGGUAAGUCUGAUGUGAAAUCUCACAGCUUAACUGUGAAACUGCAUUGGAUACUAUCCGGCUCGAGGAAUGGAGGGGAGACUGGAAUACUUGGUGUAGCAGUGAAAUGCGUAGAUAUCAGGAGGAACACCGGCGGCGAAGGCGGCCCUCUGGAUCGUUGCUGACGCUGAGACGCGAAAGCGUGGGGGAGCAAACAGG
rnacentral:rRNA from 1 species